rnacentral:lncRNA from 1 species
CGGGCACCAUUGUAAGCACUUACCAAGAAUAUACUGUACCCGCAGCUUGUACUGAAGCCUCCUCCAGUAGUGGUAGUAGCUGCGGUCCAUAAAUCCUGCCUCUGCUGCCUGCGCCCUUGUUGGAGGCUUUCCGUGAAGGGUAACGGGAAAUCGGUCCUCAAAGGCACCCCAAAACCGAGGAGUCAGGAGCUGGGCUGCUGCGGUAGGUGCUGCUGUCCUGUGAGGGGGAAAAAAAAUCUAUUUGUACAUCAAUAGUUUUACUACAAAGACCAUUGUUGAAGUACAGUUAGUGUAAAAAAAAAAUAAAUAAAUAAAAAUAUAUAUGUGUGUAUAUGUAAACGUUCUGUACCUCUCCGGCAUGUGUGGUGCCUCCCCUUCCGCAGAUGAGCUGGGGGCAUCAACCGUCAGUCCCGCCUGUGGCUCUGGUGGCGGCACAGCUCUCUCCUGGAGCCUCAUGACAUACCUGCGGACAUGCAUUGGUGGGAGAAAUGAAGCCUUUGCACAUCGGCUGUCGGGUUGCUAAGAGGGACACCUGAAGCCCCGAGGAAGAACCGGUCCCUGUCGUCUCUCUCUGGAGUUUGGGCCUUUAAAUAUUCUGGCCGGAUAUGAACAAAGUAGCAGUCCAACCACUACGGCAAAGAUUUACGCAUAUUUUAAGUGUUCGCUGUCACACAACUGUUAAUGAACUGAUAGUGUGUUGUGUAGUGUGAUCAUCUUACAUGUUCUUCUUUUCUGCUUAACUCAAUAGCUCCUUUGGACAGCGUUACAGUGACUCCGUCUGCCUCCGGCACUCUGUCGUUCCACUCCUGGACCUGUGAAAACAUUCAAACAGAAACGAUAAGGUUCUGAUGUGUAUUCUUCAACCUCAGAAGACCAUAUAUAAUAUAAUAUAAUAUAAUGUAUUAUAUUUGUGUUUUGAACACGUCUAAAAUGCGUCAGCUGUGAGCUCACCUUGAACUCUUUAAUGCUGGCAGGACCAAGGUGAUGAACCCACAUCAUUGUGGCAAGACAGAAGCUCCGGAAGUCCGUCUUGCUCUUUGCAGGGACCCCCUUAUGUUGGCUGAGGUGGUUGGACACCUCAGCCAUGUCCUCCUCUGCGAGAGCAAGGAUUUCGGACUCCUGGCUUGCAGCGCUGGAGGAAUCAAAGGGUCCAUGACUAUGGUAUGACUAUCACACCCCUGUACAGUCUAUUACACCCAUCACAAAUGAAUUACAAUGCCUAACUGACUCUACGUUCACACACUUCCCUACCUGUCAUGCCCCUCUUGGAUCAAGAAUCCCUUUGAGUGGAAGUACUCUGCCAAGGAGUCACAAGACGGGUCCUCCCUGACCAAUUUCCUGACCUGUGAGAAAUUCAUAACCCUCCCCUCUCUUGCCCACUUCUCUUGUGACUCCUUGGCCCUCAGGACUUCCUCCUGGAUACGGCCAUCCUCCGCAUCCCGCAAGCAGGAAUUUCUUAAAUGAUGGUCAAUUUUGAUCUGGGGCUUAAGACAAAUCAAGCAGUGGACCACGCUGCAAGGCUUCCUGUACACAGCUGAAGAACGUCCUGAUUAUUUCUCAGUAACAUAACACGCUUAAUACACUGUGCGCUCGGAUGAGUUUAUUGUGGAAAAAUAAAGAUAUAGAAGCACAUACAUUUGACUCUCCCUGCCAUCUCUCCACAGUGGUAUCUCUUCUCUCCAGCUGGUGUCUGCAGGUUCGGGAAAAGGCCAUGCCAAAGGAAGGGGGCGUACAAACAUUAAAGCAUGGGAGCCACAAAUUAAACAUGGUUUUGCUACACUAACCCUAGUUCAACCAUGGUAUUUGUAGUAAAACUGUCGACGUACAAAUAGAAUUAAAAAAUAACAUGACAAAAAAAGUAAACAACAACUCUUUAUCCAUUUAAUGACUAGUGAUUCUUAUUAAGUGGGGUUCAUGUUGCAGGAUUGUUUACCUAAGCAAAGUCUCAAUAAACCUGACACCUCCAGGAAAGUGGUGGCACUGGAGAAAUGAGUGCAAAACCACCAGAAACUGUCUGAAGUCUUUAGCGGUUAAAUGCAUCUUUUCUCUUACACUUGUGCAAUUUCUAUAGUACUGCAUUCUUCUCGUGGGAACUUAACAAUUUCUGACAUUUUAGUAAAUAAAACCUGUUUAAUAAUUUAUGCACAUAUGAAUAUAAGGUGUUUUUUCCCUUCCAGCCCUCGUUAAGCCCCUAGGCUAUAUUUAAAUAAUUAUAUAACGUACAGAUUUAAUAGAAUUAGUUAAGAUUUGGUUUGGAAUUGUUAAAACGUGCUUGGGAAAAGAAAUACGUUCAGAAUAUCGACUUGCAUAAUUAUGCACGCGCUGUAGAGAGCUCGCCGACAGGAGCUGCUGAAGACGCAAAGAUUAAAUGCUGAAUCAUCUGCGCCGAUGUCUACACUGAUGUAACCUAACAGUUAUCCAAUCAGUGACCGAAUUUCGGGAAUGCACGCGGUCUGAACGCUUAUGUAAAGGCAUAACUUGUAAUAUCAUGCAAAAACGAAAAAUGAACAAUUUCUCUAUUACCUUUGAGCAGCAGAAGUUCGAUGAUGUCCUUUUCUGUAACUGAGCAGCAGCAGUGCAAAAAACAGGUUUGAUUGACAGCUCUGUGACGAGGUCCGGGGUCACAGAGGGGGAUGGGAGUUAGUCCAGUCCAGAGUGACCCUAUAA